UACGAAGGGGGCUAGCGUUGUUCGGAAUUACUGGGCGUAAAGCGCACGUAGGCGGAUAUUUAAGUCAGGGGUGAAAUCCCAGAGCUCAACUCUGGAACUGCCUUUGAUACUGGGUAUCUUGAGUAUGGAAGAGGUAAGUGGAAUUGCGAGUGUAGAGGUGAAAUUCGUAGAUAUUCGCAGGAACACCAGUGGCGAAGGCGGCUUACUGGUCCAUAACUGACGCUGAGGUGCGAAAGCGCGGGGAGCAAACAGG
rnacentral:rRNA from 1 species